GGAGGAGCCUGACAACGUGGAGGCUGUGCCUGCAAUUCCGGCGACUGCCACCAGAGGGGCAGCUGCGGACUCUCUUCUCUUCACCCCAAGCCAUUAUGGUCACCAUGGCAACCAGGCUGUGUUCCAACAGGUUAGCAGAACCUGCCGAUGACGCGAGACUGCAGGCUUUGGGGGGGCAUCAGCUCCAAGAUCCUGGCUCAGGACCUGCCAAAUCCCCAGGGAAGGACAUUGGCUGUCCCUCCCCUGGUCCCCAAACCUGCAGAAGGGCAUCGGGGGCUGCUGGUGCAUGGGGUCCGGGUCUCCCUCCCUGCUCGCCUGACUCAUCUUCCCAGCCCUUGUGUUUUUCCUGAGCACACCCCCCCCCACCCCCAGCCUCCGCCACAUCUGCCUGGCUGUACAGGGUCAGGAUGGAAGCAGGGCCUGGCGCCAGAGUUUCUAGAAGGAGAAUUCACCCCGCAGGGCUGUCCCCCCAACCUGCAGGGCUGUUUCCUCAAUGGCUCUGUGUCCUGUUUUGCACAGACAGGAAUUGGCAGCGUGGCUGUGAGUCUGGAUCUGGAAGCUGAGACAGCUGGAACCCUGUCCCCUCCUCAGCCCAGCUGACGGAAGACCCCUGGCCAACCCAGAGCCAGCUGUCCUUGCCUCUGGAACUGAGCUGAAGUUGCUUCCAGGUUUGCCUGUUCCCCACCCGGCCAGGAGUCCUGCCAUUAGAGAUGAGAUCCUUUGGGGUGAAAACUUCUCCAAACCAGUCUGACCCUCCGAGUACGAGUUUCUCAGAGGGUCCAGCAGGGCUGGGAUCCAGGGGCCCUGUGCACCUCAGCCAAGUUCAGAACCUCUAAGCGGCCCCAGGGCUGGCCAAGUGCAGUGGGGCGGCGGGGGGGGGGGGGGGGGGGGGGGGGGGGGGGGGGGGGGGGGGAGCGUCCCAUAGCAGGGCCUCCACCCGGCAGAUCUGGGGCAGGCCCAGCAAGCUGUAUUUACAGGCUCUCCAGGUGCCCACGGUGCAUGGGAGGGGCGCCGAGGGUGGGGCGGGUUUCCGACCGGCUGGGUGACCCAGCGUGUGGCCCCACCUCGGCUGAUCACCAACAGGUGAUGCGAAUUGCUGUGGGUGUCCGGGGAUGAUGCCUGCACGACCCCCUCGCUCGAGGGGCAGAGUCCCCCCUGAGAAAAGGAGCCGUUAAGCCCGCGGUGGCGGAGUCCCCAGACCCAGCCCCGCUCCCGAUUGGUACUGGGGACAGCGCUGGGCUAGGAGGGCGACUUCAGAGAUGACUGCGCAGCUCUUCUAGAAAAGUCUGCGCUGCGGACCCAAGCAUGCCGUGCCGGUUUUCCGCGACUCUGGCUUCCCUGGGGCCCUCGGGAGGGGGUCCUGCCGCAGAGCCGGGCCAGCUCCUCGGCCGCACCCACCUGUGGGUUGACGGACAGCCCGAG
rnacentral:lncRNA from 1 species